rnacentral:lncRNA from 1 species
UGUGUGUGUGUGUAUGCACAUAUACACAUCUAUACACACAAACACGUACAUAUAUACACAUAUAUAAUAUAUAUGCAUAUACAUACAUCAUAUAUCAUGCAUUGUAGAUAUGUAUAUAAUAUAUAAAGUAUACAGAUAAUUACAUGAAUACAUAUUUAUUUAUUUAUUUUAUUCAUUUAUUUUUGAGACAGGGUCUCAACUCUGUCACCCAGGCUGGAGUGCAGUGAUGCAAUCUUGGCUCACUGCAACCACCACCUCUUGGGUUCAAGCAAUCCUCCCACCUCAGCCUUCCGAGUAACUGGGACCACAGGCACGUGUCACUAUGACUGGCUAAUUUGUAUUUUUGGUAGAGACAUGUUGCCCAUGCUGGCGCAUAAAUACAUACGUAUUUAAAUCUAUAUACAUAUUAUAUGUAUACACACACACACAUAUAUAUAUACUCCACUGCAUAGAUUCAGUCAUCUACACAUCUAAACCACCUUUACUGUGGAAUUAGUGAACUCUUUAGCUCCUCCCUUAGUCUGUUUCUUAUUCUCAUCUUUAUUUCUCAUUAAACUGAUUAUAAUAUAUAAAUAUAUUUCUUAUAUUUAUCUCAUCUUUAUUUCUUAUUCUCACCAUCAUUUUAUUUCUGCAUUGCCAUACACCUUUCUUUCUGAUUAAAAUUAAUCCCAUCCAGUUUGCACUGUUGAGUUUAUAAAAUGGGAGACUGGAAAUAUCUGUUCAGUCACACACUGAUUCAAUCAUACAUUCAUUCAACAUACAAUAAUUGAGCACCUACAAUAGAAUACCAUAUUGGGUCCUAUAGAAGAGACGGAUAAAAGGGAGGGGGUCCAUGCCUUCAGAAACUUAAAAUCCAGCUGGAUGUGCAACACUUAACACACACGAAACAAAGCAUCCUCAAAUGCACAAUUCUCAUCAGAGGAACAGCAAAUUAGAGCAGAAAGCUAAAGCUUUGCCAUGCACACCAAUGCUGCUAUAUCAGCAGAAUGAGCAGGAGGGGGAGAAAAGCCACUGUGGUUAAAAGAAACUGCUGGCCUAUGGAUUUUUUUAAAUUACAAUUUGCAUGCUCUUCUAACAGUGUUAGUUCUGCUUAGGUGGCAGAGUGGCUUUCCUGAAAGUAUGAGCUCAGCCUUGUCUUAUGCCUGUUUAAAGAAAGAGGUCAGGUAAAGUGAUUGUAGUAAUAGCACCAAGCUGGUUGAAAACCACAGUAUCUCUCAGAUGGCACCAAAAACACCCACACGAUGGAAAAUUUUUGCCUGCUAAAAGCCGCUUGAAGUUGUUUCAGAAACACAUAUGAGCAGUAUUUGCUCUUCUCCUUGGGAGUGUUCUCGAGGAAAACAGCUUUCCAAACUUAACAUGUUAAGGUAGUAGAACAGUCUAGUGGCCUGAGUGAAUUUUGGAUUGAGCAGCAAGUGGGCCUUGAGUAUUCAGGUAGCAAGUGGUCAAGGAGAAUUUGGAGCUGGUCAGUGCCUGGCUAAACUGCAUGUGCCUUGAAGAGAAGUCCUUCAGAUCCACCUGUGUCUACACAAAUUCAUGAGUGACUGGUGCCGUGAAUUCAGUCCCACUAACGCACCAGCUGUGCUUUUUGGUAGUUGUUUCCUUUUCUUGGCAAUUUGGUUUUAGGUUGUGUCAAAAGGGGAAGACACAGAACUGAGACAAGGCAAAAUUAUAAGACAUGUAUCUUAUUUUUUAGCUUCUCUAUAUCACUAUAUUUGAGGUGAAGGAUUUAAUCCUUAUAUAGCUCUUCCAAAUCUCUUCAUACAGUACCACAAUUUAUAACUGAACUCUAUACUGAAUAAUCAUUUAAAGCAUUUUAAACUACCUUGGAAGAGAAAUGAGUAAUGACUCAAUAUAUUUGCAAAAACCCAUACUGUAUCUAUUGUAGGAUGUCUACAUAAAAACUGAAUAACCCCAUCAGUGUUCAUUUGACAUCAAAGUGGACCUAGGGGCAGAAAACAAAAGGACUCUCAUCUUAAGGGCUGAUAAAUGUAGUCUAUGUGUGGUAUUGAUAAUUUUUUUAAUUCACAGAUCAAAUAUAUUUUAAUGUACACAUGGAAGAAUUUAACUAUGAAGUUCAUGAAGAAUGGUGAAAACAUACCUCCAAGAAACCCUAUUUAUGGCAAAUUCCUGUGUAACCUUCAAGUGUUACACGCCCUGUGACAUCUGACAUCCCCAGUAAGACUUUGGGAUUCCUUCCUCUCUAAGUUCCCAAUUCAUGUUGCACAUACACUCGUAUUAUAAUCUUUUCCCUGCCAGCAUGUAAGGUCUUCCCAGGAAGGGCUAUGUCUUUUGCCUUUGUAUCUCCAGUGCCCUAGUGCCUGGCAUAUAAGAGGAGCUGAACAUAUAUUUGCAUAGUAAAUGAAUAAAUGAAAGUCUUUUCUGACCAGUUUCAUCCUGCUCCGACCACUCUUUCAUUAUACAGCUUAGACUAUUUACAUCUCACCACACAAGCAUACACAGCAAAUGAACCACUGAGAUGCAAUAUGAUUUUUCUUAGUCAAGGAAUAUUUUAACGUGCAAGAAAAUUGACUAUUUAAAGAAACUUUACAUGAAUAUUUUUGUAACUGGUCAAGGAAGACAUGAAUUCAAAUAUUUACAGGGAUUUUAAGAAGCAGCCUGAGGGAGGGAGUCCAGAGCUAUUUCUUCUGUCUAGAAUGAAAACUGCCCGAAGAGUCUAAGAACUGGCCCAUUUCCCUCUUCUCAGCCCACACUCCUCAAUACCCUAAAUUCAAACCCGAAUAAAAAUUAAUAGCAAUCAAAAGAAGUAUACUCUAAAGAGGUUUAUAUCCACUAAAAAGAAAUGAAUAUAAAAGAGAAUUAUUCAAUUUUUCACUUUUAUUUUUCCUUUAUUAGACUAUUUCUCAAAAUGAACAUAGCUUUGUUUUUUCUUACCAUAAAGUAGCAUGUGUUAAUUGAAAUAAAAUCAGGCAAUACAAAAAGCAUAAAGAAAAAAAUGAAAAUUACCUUUAAUGCCAUCACUCAGAGAGAACUCUCAUUAACAUUUUACCUUUCCAUAUUUUUUCCUAUGCAUAUACAGAAAAUGUAGUAAUGUUAUAUGUGAUGUUUUGUAAUCUUUUUUUUAUUAAGUUGCCACACAUUAUGGGCAUCUUUUCUUUACAAUAAAUAUUUUCAUUAUUAUUUUUAAAUCUGCAGAGCAAUAUCCCAUUGUAUGGCUGUACUGUUAUUUAAUAA